AUUGAACGCUGGCGGCAGGCCUAACACAUGCAAGUCGAACGAGUGGCGGACGGGUGAGUAAUGUCUGGGAAACUGCCUGAUGGAGGGGGAUAAAUACUGGAAACGGUAGCUACUACCGCAUACCAUCGGAUGUGCCCUGAUGGGAUUAGCUAGUAGGUGGGGUAACGGCUCACCAAGGCGACGAUCCAUACCUGGUCUGAGAGGAUGACCAGCCACACUGGAACUGAGACACGGUCCAGACUCCUACGGGAGGCAGCAGUGGGGAAUAUUGCACAAUGGGCGCAAGCCUGAUGCAGCCAUGCCGCGUGUAUGAAGAAGGCCUUCGGAUUGUAAAGUACUUUCAGCGGGGAGGCGUUACCCGCAGAAGAAGCACCGGCUAACUCCGUGCCAGCAGCCGCGGUAAUUC
rnacentral:rRNA from 1 species